rnacentral:rRNA from 1 species
GCGUUGUUCGGAUUCACUGGGUAUAAAGGGUGCGCAGGCGGCCUGAUAAGUCAGGGGUGAAAUAUGACGGCUCAACCGUCAAACUGCCCCUGAAACUGCCAGGCUUGAGUCCGGGAGAGGUAGGUGGAAUUCCAGGUGUAGCGGUGAAAUGCGUAAAUAUCUGGAGGAACACCGGUGGCGAAGGCGGCCUACUGGCCCGGAACUGACGCUCAGGCACGAAAGCUAGGGGAGCGAACGGGAUUAGAUACCCCGGUAGUCCUAGCCGUAAACGAUGGGCACUAGGUGUUGGAGGAGUCUACCCCUUCAGUGCCGCAGCUAACGCAUUAAGUGCCCCACCUGGGGAGUACGAUCGCAAGGUUGAAACUCAAAGGAAUUGACGGGGGCCCGCACAAGCGGUGGAGCAUGUGGUUUAAUUCGAUGCAACGCGAAGAACCUUACCUGGACUUGACAUGCAGGGGACAGGUGUAGAAAUACACCCUUCUUCGGACCCUUGUACAGGUGCUGCAUGGCUGUCGUCAGCUCGUGUCGUGAAAUGUUGGGUUAAGUCCCGCAACGAGCGCAACCCCUGUUUCAAGUUGCCAUCAAGGUUAUGCUUGGGGA